rnacentral:rRNA from 1 species
AUACGUAGGUGGCGAGCGUUGUCCGGAUUUACUGGGCGUAAAGGGAGCGUUAGGCGGACUUUUAAGUGAGAUGUGAAAUACCCGGGCUCAACUUGGGUGCUGCAUUUCAAACUGGAAGUCUAGAGUGCAGGAGAGGAGAAUGGAAUUCCUAGUGUAGCAGUGAAAUGCGUAGAGAUUAGGAAGAACACCAGUGGCGAAGGCGAUUCUCUGGACUGUAACUGACGCUGAGGCUCGAAAGCGUGGGGAGC